GCUUGCGUAGCUCAGUUGGUAGAGCACAUCCUUGGUAAGGAUGAGGUCAUCGGUUCAAUCCCGAUCGCAAGCU
rfam:Ignavibacteria bacterium 13_1_40CM_2_61_4 13_1_40cm_2_scaffold_28463, whole genome shotgun sequence.